rnacentral:tRNA from 1 species
ACCUGGGUGGCUCAGUCGGUUGAGCAUCUGACUUCAGCUCAGGUCAUGAUCUUACGGUUCAUGGGUUCGAGCCCUGUGUCAGGUU